ensembl:lncRNA
CAAUUAUUGGUCACGCUACAGAGAGGAAAUGAGGGUGAGGCCAUGUGGCCCUCUGCAAUUGCCACUUCCUUUUCCAAGUUCCCAAGCCAUCUGUUAAAUAACCCAUUUGUGAAUGUUCCUGGGCACCGAUGUCAAUCUCUCUGGUCUGUGGUCUCUAGAAUCUCUUUAAAAUGUGUGUAAAUAGCUUAGGUUGGUAGAGAAACUAGACCAAGUGUGGAAAUGUCUGUAAAAGCCCCAGACGAUGGUCGUGACUACUACUGUAUUGUUUCUGGAUCAUUUCCCUGUAGUCUCUGGACACCUCGUGUUCUGGCUGCAAGCACACCAUCUGGUUUGCCAAGGACCUUCUUCAAAUGAGGCCCCUGAAACUGAACGUGGAACUUCAAGCAAGCUCUGGCAGAGCUGGGACCAUGCCCGAGACCCGCAGACCCAACACAGCCUUACAACUGGGUCAUAAAUGAGCAGCAGAGGCAAGAGCAGAGGCAAGUCUCCUGCCCCACGAGGACAACCAGAUUCACCUGCAGCAUCCCGUGGUCUAGCAGGUGGGAGGAUCUUGCUUGUGUAGCAGCAGCGAAGAGAAGGAUUCUAGGAAUCUCAGAGGCAAAAGGUUUUCUGCAGUUCACGUUUUUCCGAACCUGUGGUUUCUCUGGUAAGGGGUGUGCGUGUAUGUGUGUUGUGCAGAGGAAGAGAGGAGAAGUAGUGCUGGCUCCAGACUGUAAGGCCCCUGACUCUUGCACAUAUGGUUAUUUCAUGUAUACAUGUUUUCAAGUCUGGCCUUACGUGGCCACAGAAGCAUAAAGAUGCCAAGGAAUGUGGUGGUACCAGGGCUUAAUUACAGGGACCUUUGUCCAGCUGACAUGCCGGUAAUGCGCCUAGCUGCAUGAUUCAGCAGUAAUCCUGCCAGGUUCCCAAAAAAAGCCCCUAUCUGGGAUGACGUAAUGUCUCUCCAGCCCGAUACAGCCAUCCCUGCACACCCACCGCCACACGUUUACCAUCUCCUCUUAGGAGCCACAUUGCCAUCUGUGGGAUCUUCGCUUGCCAUCUGCAUUGUGACAGAUACGUAUUUUAUUAUUUAAAUGGUCUUACAAUGCACAGUGUUGCUAAUCUAGCCCUUCGCGUUUAAAAAUUCAAUAGAAAAAUUAAAACAGAAGAAACUCCGAGCCUCUGGUGGGUUCUAGAUCGGCAAAUCAUGCCUGCAGAAUACCUCCAGUAUGUCAUAUUGGAUAUUUGAUCUGUGUAUCCCAUGAAUAUUUAUACUUUGAGGCAGAGUGAUUGAUUUAAUUUAUCACCGAGAGUUGAGGUGACUGUCUAGACUGGCUCCGUGGCACACGUUGCAGAGCAUGUGAAGAGAAAGCGACUCUGCUCCUCCCCAGGCACUUUGUGGGUAGUUGGCAGAUCUCUUGUUUGCCCACAUCGGAUCCAUCCAUCUCCCCCUUCUUCCUGACUGGACAAGUGCUCAGGGAAGGUGCUCUUAUCCUCAUCUAAACUAAUUUUGGUUUUCCUUGCCCCUCUUGGCUGGGUAGAUCAUUCAUUUUAUUUCAGUUUAUUUCAGUGGGAAAUGAAAGGAGUUCUGCUGGGACUUGGUGGGGGUCGGGAGUUCUGGGCAAGAUUUCUUUCCUGAUAAAAAGAAUAAAUAGCUGCUUUUUUUUUUGAACUCUGGAUGU